rnacentral:SRP_RNA from 1 species
UCGCACUAGUCGGGGAGAUAGCGGUGCCCUGUAACCUGCAAUCCGCUAUAGCAGGGAUGAAUUCCUAUACCCGGGUAGACUUGAGCGCUGUUCGGCCCAUAUAAGUGGUGUUGAUGGAACGGUCCUGCGCAACAGGAGCCCGUGAACCAUGUCAGGUGGGGAACCAAGCAGCAUUAAGCGGAUACUCCCGUGUGCCGCAGGCUUGCCGAUCCUGAGCUGGCUGUGUGGAUACCGGGCGUUCGGUCUGCUCAAAUGUAGGUGUGCGA